GCACUGGAUGGGAGUUUUACCGUUAUGUCCCAUUGUUGGAUCUUCAAGGAGAGCGAUGACAGAGAUUCAAACAGUGC
rnacentral:sRNA from 19 species